rnacentral:rRNA from 1 species
UACGUAGGAGGCGAGCGUUGUCCGGAAUCAUUGGGCGUAAAGAGCGCGCAGGCGGCUUGGCAAGUCGGGUGUGAAAUCCCGGGGCUCAACUCCGGGACUGCAUUCGAUACUGUCAGGCUAGAGGUAGGUAGGGGAGAUCGGAAUUCCUGGUGUAGCGGUGAAAUGCGCAGAUAUCAGGAGGAACACCGGUGGCGAAGGCGGAUCUCUGGGCCUUACCUGACGCUCAGGCGCGAAAGCUAGGGGAGCGAACAGG